GUCUUGUAUCCUGACUCAACUUGGCCAGAGGUCAAGACUCGUCACCACACUUUGGCUUGCGCAACUCACAGGUCUGCAGAUAGUGGCCUAAACCCCCACAAUGUAGGCAUAAGUUUAAGUUUCUGCGACGCAGACGCUCCUCUUCUGAGAGCCUGGGCCGCAGAAAACUUUUAAACCUUUUCUCUUCAAUUAAACCAGAGGAUUCUCUUGUCACCAUACUGUGAACAAGAGUCUCUUUAGAGAUAGAUGUACUCUCAACGACUUCUGGCAAGAUGAGCAAGAUUUUAGUCAGAAGGUUUUGCAGUUGCUUUAGGGAUUGCUGCAAAACUUCUAGUCGCUCUAGUCUCAAAGCACUGAAAACAGAGUUCAGGGCUGCGAGAGAUGCCUGCAGGGCUUGCAUAGUAGACAUAGGAGGAUUUAAAACUAGACAAGACUAGACAAGGCAGGACUAGACAAGGCAGGACUAGACAAGGCAGGACUAAAUUUUUGCUAAACAAAACAAGACUUUUUUUUUUUUUUUAAACACCGGACUGGAUUUUUUUUUUUGUAAACACUGGACUGGAUUCUAACACCGGACUGGAUUCUAAACACCGGACUGGAUUCUAGACUAGACACUGGGCCAAAAAAGAAAAAAAGUUUUAUUUCUUUUUUGUGGUAUGGCUGGUGAUAAUGUUAUGAUUCCAGCACUCUGGUCUGAGGAGAUCUUAUUGCAAGGACCGGAGCACUGGAACGUAAUGCUGGGAAAGGGGAAUGGAAAGGGAAUAGCCCCUGGCGCCCUAUCUCCGUUGUCUCGCCCGUGCUGUCAGUACACUCUUGCGAGACUAUGGUUGCUUGAGCCCAUGGCAGCCGCGUUUGAAGGGCAGAUUACGUCUGCCCAACUUCGAUGCCCCCUCAGGUCUUAAUGAGAGACAAAGAGUGUACCAAGACAGGGUGAUAACAAGGGGCCCUCUUACUGAAACAACCAAAGCCAGGGGCUACUAACUAGCCUAAAACUAAAUGUAUGUGCAGCUUGCCGCCAAAGGAAAAGAACAACAAAGGAAAUGCUGACCACACGCCCACACAAUACUUUUGUGUACCGGCGGUGACAGCAUAAGCAGAACCCUCUGCAAAACACCAGUGACAGAAAUAAUAAUGGAAUACAGCGGCCUAGGCCGACGGACGCGGCAGAGCUGCUACUCACGGAACCGGUACGAAUACUGGCAAACGGACAGGAACUCCCAAUGCUGCUGACACAGACUCUUAGAACUGGAGGACAGGCAGAAUCCCAAACGAAAAGACCGGUGGACACCAAGAAGCCAGAAACUUGACCAGGCACAGGCAAAGGCACUGGACCUCAGGACAGGAACGCCUCACGGCAGGACACGGGAUCAGACAUAGGAAUCGACACAGGGACUGACUCAGGAAUCGACACAGGAAGCUCAGGAACUAGCAGGAACCAAGCUCAGAACUCAAGCAGACCGGAUACCCAGAAAUAUCAUCAGCGUCUGUGAAUUGCAGUCAGCCAGCAUAUAACAGAGAGGCCUAAUUAAUAAUCUCAUGCAGCUGCCCUGUUGCAUGACUCCAAACUGACAAGAUGCAAUUAGCAGCCAGGUGAGGCUGAACACAUGGGAACAAGCUGCAAUUACACAGACUCACCAGCGGCAGCAGACAAGAGUAUUCUAAAACAGAGUAACAGGAAAUCCUGGCAUGCAAGACAACUUUAUAAACAUAAAAUAGGAAUGAACCACUACCUGUGGUUCAUAACAGUAUCCCCUCCUUAAGGGUGAGCUCCGAGCACCCCAUGACACCCACGGGGAACAUGAACAGAAGUAUAACAUAAAAUACAUAACCAAAAUGCAAAAAUGGAAAUAAGCCACAGCCGUGGCUCAUAACAUUUGUAUUCUACACAACAUUUGUGUUGCAAACCGUUUUCCGGUGACUAUUUGUAGCAGGGCUUUGCUCCAUCUGUGGGUAUGGACGAAGGAGAUGAAGCUAGAAGUCAUUUAAUCCAGACUUAUUUUUCCUCAGCCUGUGAGUAUACUUGUAAAAUUUGUAUUUUCAUGUAAAAUCAGUGUGUCAUAUUUUCCAUUAAAUCAAUGUCUUUUAUUUUUUUUUUUUAUUCCAGAGUUUUGUCCUGUUGACAGUUUUAUCCUCAAGUUGCAUCCUGUUGAUGGGUUGUCAUUGAUUUGUCAGUUUGGUUUGUUUACCCCUUUUUUGAUUCCUGUUUACGGAUUUCUUUUUGGAUUCCUGUUCCUGUUGACGGCUUACUUGUGAUGUGGACCUCCCCCACUGCCAUGUUACAAAGAUACCCUUCAGGUGUCAUGGAGUAGACCUCCCAAGGUCAAAGUACCCUCUCCGGUGUAAAGUGAUGCUACAGUCCCCCCUCUACCAUGACGGCCUACUUGUGAUGUGGACCUCCCCCACCGCCAUGUUACAAAAAGACCCUUCAGGUUUCAUGGAGUAGCCCUCCCAAAGUUAAAAGUACCCUCUCCGGAUGUAAAGUGACGCUACAGUCCCCCCUCUACCAUGACGGCCUACUUGUGAUGUGGACCUCCCCCACCACCAUGUUACAAAGAGACCCUUCAGGUUUCAUGGAGUAGCCCUCCCAAGGCCAAAGUACCCUCUCCUGUGUAAAGUGAUGCUAUAGUCCCCCCUCUACCAUGGACGGCCUACUUGUGAUGUGGACCUCCCCCACCGCCAUGUUACAAAGAGACCCUUCAGGUUUCACGGAGUAGCCAUCCCAAAGUUAAAAGUACCCUCUCAGGAAGUCAAGUGAUGCUACAGUACCCCCCCCUCUACCAUGGACGGCCUACUUGUGAUGUGGACCUCCCCCACCACCAUGUUACAAAGAGACCCUUCAGGUUUCACGGAGUAGCCCUCCCAAAGAUAAAAGUGCCCUCUCCAGUGUAAAGUGACGCUAAAGUACCCCCUCUACCAUGACGGCCUACCUCAAGACCUUCAAUACCACCGUAUCCCUUAAAUGCCCUAUUGUAAAUUACAUUUACUAUAUUUUAAAGAAAAAACACAAAACUUCUAAAAAUUGAUAAUUUUAUUGAAGAAAA